UUCGCUGUUGUGACGUGCUGCAAAUUAGAUGUAUAGCCAGACACCAGCUUCUGGCAGCGUUCCUGAGGAAUCUUAGCCCAUUGCUCAUGAGCAAUGACCUCCACUCCAGUAAUAUUUUUGGGUUUGUGUGCUGCAACCGCCUUCUUCAAAUCCCACCAGAGAUUUUCUAUGGGUUUCAAUUCAGAUAACUGAUGGCCACAGUAGAAUUUUCCAGGACUUUUUUUGCAAACAAGCC